UACGUAGGGUUCAAGCGUUGUCCGGAAUUAUUGGGCGUAAAGAGCUCGUAUGCGGUCUGUCGCGUCUGCUGUGAAAACUCAGGGCUUAACCCUGAGCUUGCAGUGGGUACGGGCAGACUAGAGUGCGGUAGGGGAGACUGGAAUUCCUGGUGUAGCGGUGGAAUGCGCAGAUAUCAGGAGGAACACCGGUGGCGAAGGCGGGUCUCUGGGCCGUUACUGACGCUGAGGAGCGAAAGCGUGGGGAGCGAACAGG
rnacentral:rRNA from 1 species